rnacentral:rRNA from 1 species
GCAUCGAUGAAGAACGCAGCCAGUUGCGAUAAGUAGUGUGAAUUGCAGAACUCAGUGAAUCAUCGAAUCUUUGAACGCAAAUUGCGCUCUCUGGAUAUCCAGGGAGCAUGCCUGUCUGAGCGUCGUUUAAUAAUCUACACACUUCGGUGUGGGUAGGGAUUUUAGGUGGCUCACUUCACUGUGGGUUAUCUAUAUCUCGAUGUAUCUGAACCUUGCAUUACUUUGAUUGUAUUGCUUGGAAGGCUCAACUUGCUUCUGUCCUUCUAAAGUGUGUACUAUCAUAACGGUGUAGGUGUUCUUCGAAUGUUCCUUCGGGGAUGUUCACUUCUUAUUUUUGACCUCAGAUCAGACAAGACUACCCGCUGAACUUAAGCAUAUCAAUAAGCGGAGGA